UGCCUAACCCUCAUGGAGUGAUCCGUGAGGUAUGGCACAAAAUCCCAUCCCUGAUACUGAACCCCGUGUUCAGCAACCCAGGGAUGGGUCAUGUCUCGAAAGGGGCGUGGGGCCGAAAGGUCC
rnacentral:sRNA from 12 species